GAAGGUGUAGCUCAGUGGUAGAGCACGUGCUUAGCAUGCAUGAGGUCCUGGAUUCGAUCCCCAGUACCUCCA
rnacentral:tRNA from 1 species